AUUGAACGCUGGCGGCAGGCCUAACACAUGCAAGUCGAACGAGUGGCGGACGGGUGAGUAAUGUCUGGGAAACUGCCUGAUGGAGGGGGAUAACUACUGGAAACGGUAGCUAAUACCGCAUACCAUCGGAUGUGCCAAGAUGGGAUGAGCUAGUAGGUGGGGUAACGGCUCACCAAGGCGACGAUCCCUAGCUGGUCUGAGAGGAUGACCAGCCACACUGGAACUGAGACACGGUCCAGACUCCUACGGGAGGCAGCAGUGGGGAAUAUUCCGCAAUGGGCGCAAGCCUGAUGCAGCCAUGCCGCGUGUAUGAAGAAGGCCUUCGGGUUGUAAAGUACUUUCAGCGGGGAGGCGUUACCCGCCGAAGAAGCACCGGCUAACUCCGUGCCAGCCGCCGCGGUAAUUC
rnacentral:rRNA from 1 species